AACGAACGCUGGCGGCAUGCCUAACACAUGCAAGUCGAACGAACCCUUCGGGGUUAGUGGCGCACGGGUGCGUAACGCGUGGGAAUCUGCCCUUUGCUUCGGAAUAACAGUUAGAAAUGACUGCUAAUACCGGAUGAUGUCUUCGGACCAAAGAUUUAUCGGCAAAGGAUGAGCCCGCGUAGGAUGAGGUAGUUGGUGGGGUAAAGGCCUACCAAGCCGACGAUCCUUAGCUGGUCUGAGAGGAUGAUCAGCCACACUGGGACUGAGACACGGCCCAGACUCCUACGGGAGGCAGAAGUGGGGAAUAUUGGACAAUGGACGCAAGUCUGAUCCAGCAAUGCCGCGUGAGUGAUGAAGGCCUUAGGGUUGUAAAGCUCUUUUACCAGGGAUGAUAAUGACAGUACCUGGAGAAUAAGCUCCGGCUAACUCCGUGCCAGCCGCCGCCGUAAUAC
rnacentral:rRNA from 1 species